rnacentral:pre_miRNA from 2 species
UCCCACCAUCGGAUCUGAUAGCGAGGAGGCCGGGGCCUCUAGAUCCGGCCACCCCGGCCUCCCCGACAGCAGAUCUGCUGCCAACGA